AUCCAGCUGACGAGUCCCAAAUAAAACGAAACACCCAUCCUGGAU
rnacentral:hammerhead_ribozyme from 1 species